GCCAGUGUGGUGUAAUGGUUUGAGUGUUAGAUCUGGACACUGGGAGACCAGGGUUCGAAUCCCUGCUCAGCCA